AACAAACGCUGGCGGCGUGCCUAAUACAUGCAAGUCGAACGGGGUAGCAAUACCUAGUGGCGCACGGGUGAGUAACGCGUGGAUAAUCUGCCUUAGAGUGGGGGAUAACUAGUCGAAAGAUUAGCUAAUACCGCAUAAGACCACAAGAACUGCGGUUCAAGGGGUCAAAGGUUUUUCGCUCUAAGAUGAGUCCGCGUAAGAUUAGCUAGUUGGUGAGGUAAUGGCUCACCAAGGCGACGAUCUUUAACUGGUCUGAGAGGAUGAUCAGUCACACUGGAACUGAGACACGGUCCAGACUCCUACGGGAGGCAGCAGUAGGGAAUAUUGCACAAUGGAGGAAACUCUGAUGCAGCGACGCCGCGUGAGUGAUGAAGGCCUUCGGGUCGUAAAGCUCUGUCGCAGGGGAAUAACACAAUGGAUGUACCCUGUAAGAAAGGAUCGGCUAACUUCGUGCCAGCAGCCGCGGUAAUAC
rnacentral:rRNA from 1 species